rnacentral:rRNA from 1 species
UACAGAGGGUGCGAGCGUUAAUAGGAAUUACUGGGCGUAAAGCGCACGUAGGUGGCGGCGUAAGUCGGGUGUGAAAGCCCCGGGCUCAACCUGGGAAGUGCAUUCGAGACUGCAUUGCUGGAGUACGGAAGAGGAGGGUGGAAUUCCCGGUGUAGCGGUGAAAUGCGUAGAUAUCGGGAGGAACAUCAGUGGCGAAGGCGGCCCUCUGGUCCAGUUCUAACACUCAAGUGCGAAAGCGUGGGGAGCAAACAGG